rnacentral:rRNA from 1 species
CGCUGGCGGCGUGCCUAACACAUGCAAGUCGAGCGGGGACAUUGCGACGGACAUGAAGACUUCGGUUGAAUUUGAAGAUGUAAUGUUCUAGCGGCGGACGGGUGAGUAACGCGUGAGCAACCUGCCCUUACAGGGGGAUAACACAGCGAAAGUUGUACUAAUACCGCAUAAGACCACAGGGUGACAUCACUUUAGGGGUCAAAGGAGUAAUCCGGUAAGGGUGGGCUCGCGUCCGAUUAGAUAGUUGGUGAGGUAACGGCCCACCAAGUCGACGAUCGGUAGCCGACCUGAGAGGUGAUCGGCCACAUUGGGACUGAGACACGGCCCAAACUCCUACGGGAGGCAGCAGUGGGAAUAUUGGGCAAAUGGGGGAAACCCUGACCCAGCAACGCCGCGUGAGGGAAGAAGGUUUUCGGAUCGUAAACCUCUGUCCUUGGUGAAGAGAAAGAGACGGUAGCCAAGGAGGAAGCCCCGGCUAACUACGUGCCAGCCGCCGC